GGGGAGGCAGCAGUGGGGAAUAUGGACAAUGGGGGAAACCCUGAUCCAGCGACACGCGUGUGUGAAGAAGGCCUGCGGGUUGUAAAGCACUUUUAGUGGGGAUGAAAAGCUCAGGGCUAAUACCUCUGGGUCUUGACCUAACCCACAGAAAAAGCACCGGCUAACUCUGUGCCAGCAGCCGCGGUAAUACAGAGGGUGCAAGCGUUAAUCGGGAUUACUGGGCGUAAAGCGUGCGUAGACGGUCAUGUAAGUCGGGUGUGAAAGCCCCGGGCUCAACCUGGGAAUUGCAUUCGAGACUGCAUGGCUAGGGUGCGGAAGAGGGAAGCGGAAUUUCCGGUGUAGCGGUGAAAUGCGUAGAUAUCGGAAGGAACACCAGUGGCGAAAGCGGCUUCCUGGUCCAGCACCGACGUUCAGGCACGAAAGCGUGGGGAGCAAACAGGAUUAGAUACCCUGGUAGUCCACGCCAUAAACGAUGAGAACUAGA
rnacentral:rRNA from 1 species